AGUGAAGCGGCAACAGCUCAAAUUUGAAAUCUGGCUCUCGGGCCCGAGUUGUAAUUUGUAGAGGAUACUUUUGAUGCGGUGCCUUCCGAGUUCCCUGGAACGGGACGCCAUAGAGGGUGAGAGCCCCGUCUGGUUGGAUGCCAAAUCUCUGUAAAGUUCCUUCGACGAGUCGAGUAGUUUGGGAAUGCUGCUCUAAAUGGGAGGUAUAUGUCUUCUAAAGCUAAAUACCGGCCAGAGACCGAUAGCGCACAAGUAGAGUGAUCGAAAGAUGAAAAGCACUUUGAAAAGAGAGUUAAAAAGUACGUGAAAUUGUUGAAAGGGAAGCGUUUAUGACCAGACUUGGGCUUGGUUAAUCAUCUGGGGUUCUCCCCAGUGCACUUUUCCAGUCCAGGCCAGCAUCAGUUUUCCCCGGGGGAUAAAGACUUCGGGAAUGUGGCUCUCUUCGGGGAGUGUUAUAGCCCGUUGUGUAAUACCCUGGGGGGGACUGAGGUUCGCGCAUCUGCAAGGAUGCUGGCGUAAUGGUCAUCAACGACCCGUCUUGAAACACGGACCAAGGAGUCGUCUUCGUAUGCGAGUGUUCGGGUGUCAAACCCCUACGCGUAAUGAAAGUGAACGCAGGUGAGAGCUUCGGCGCAUCAUCGACCGAUCCUGAUGUUCUCGGAUGGAUUUGAGUAAGAGCAUACGGGGCCGGACCCGAAAGAAGGUGAACUAUGCCUGUAUAGGGUGAAGCCAGAGGAAACUCUGGUGGAGGCUCGCAGCGGUUCUGACGUGCAAAUCGAUCGUCAAAUAUGGGCAUGGGGGGCGAAAGACUAAUCGAACCUUCUAGUAGCUGGUUUCCGCCGAAGUCCCCCCUCCAGGAAUAAGAAAACUGCGAGCAGCUGGAUGCGAAUAGGCUCUCUGAUCGAGUCUACUUG
rnacentral:rRNA from 1 species